UAUCAGCACCCCGAGUGGUCGGGACGUUUAUUGGGCCUAAAGCAUCCGUAGCCGGUUCUACAAGUCUUCCGUUAAAUCCACCUGCUUAACAGAUGGGCUGCGGAAGAUACUAUAGAGCUAGGAGGCGGGAGAGGCAAGCGGUACUCGAUGGGUAGGGGUAAAAUCCGUUGAUCCAUUGAAGACCACCAGUGGCGAAGGCGGCUUGCCAGAACGCGCUCGACGGUGAGGGAUGAAAGCUGGGGGAGCAAACCGG
rnacentral:rRNA from 1 species